rnacentral:misc_RNA from 1 species
UAACUUGAGCAAUCUACUUUAGACAAUCUAGAUAAUGUAGGUGCUUUGGAUAAUCGAAUUUAAUCACACAUUAUAUUAGAUUAUCAUCGAAGAACAAAGGAGCGUGAAUGUGAGACUCAGUGUAUCGUAUUAAUCAAAGCAUGGAAGAUGGAGGUUAAAUUUAAAGGAGAUUCUCGAGAUUCGCGAGUCCUCGUAGAAGCAAGUUGCUCGAAAAUUUGCAAUGGGGAGAAUAUCGAAGGGCCAUCGCUAACCAGUGGUGGGAGAAGUAGAACGCAUCGGCACCAGGGUGAGAGGCAGCGGGUUCAGGAGAACGCGCAGCCGCAAAAGGGCAGGGUGGGAAGGCUGUUAGUUCGGAGGUCUUUCAAGGGGUGGUCUGUCAGUUUACCGGAUGACCGCGUGAGCGCGCUGCCGCGCAAGACCAACCCUCUAUUCGCGCUACAUCCGGCGAACGUGACUGAUCGUUUCGUUCGAUUCUCGAACCGUUGCAAAACAUUCGGUUUUUCGCUCGAUCAAUUUCGCGAUUUCUUUCGUAUUCCUUCUUUCUCUCGCUUAAACCUUCUUCGAUUCUUUUUCAAUCGGUUAUUCGUGAUUUUAUCCGCUAAUGUGCUAUAAUCCACGUUGGGUUGGAAAGUCACCACCACCUAUCGACCGCCGUCACUGACCGGUCCGUUUUUCGCACUUUUGCCCUUUUUUCACACCGACCGUCUUCACUUUGGAUCCUGUAUCGUUCUCGAUCCGAUCUCGAAGCCUCUUCUCAUCUUGCGCGGCUCUACACGACUCUUGCCCAGUUUUCGUGGCCGUAAACCAACUUCGAAGCAAAAAAGGACAUUACAGUGUACCUCUGUGUCAAUCGAAUGGUAAAUUAAUCGGGAGGAAGAGAAAGAAAGAAGAGGAGGGCAAAAGAGAAAAAAAAGGAAGAAAGGGAGGAAGAGCAGGGGACGGAAGGAGCAAGAGUUACAGUUACAAAGGAGGGAGGAGAAUGAGAAGGAGGGAGAAGUGAUUCCUUUCCUCGCGUAGAAUAGUGUGUAGUGUAUUCUUGGUGGAUGGUAUCGCAAGGAUCGGUAGCUGGUUCGUGAUGGGGGUGGGAAACAGUUUAUCAGACGUGGUCGCUACAAGUAGUCCACCAGAAAGAUAAUGCAGAUAAAUGUUUCCGGAGGGAAGAGCGGACAAGUAACAGAGGAUUACAUAUUGUCAGAUCCGGUACGCGAUUUCCUGACAAGCAGCGUUUCACUCAACAAUGGAUUCAACGAUGACGGACGAUGACAAUUACCCCAAUUACGCGAAAGAGAAAAUCGACAAAUCACUUUCGUAAUUUUUGACGAGAUCGAUUAAAACGAACGAGUCUGCCGCGACUCGUCUAUUUAAUUCCCUAAUAAUAGCCAGCGACGAGUUACUUUAUUUUUCUCUCUCGCCACCAAGAAGCCUACUAAGCCUACCAAGACUCGGUUAACACGCUUAACGCGGUCACCCUUCUUGCCUCGGUAAGGAUUUCACGUCGAGCGAAAACGAAAAAGAUGGAGCCAGAAGCGCGGAAGCAACGAUCAUGGCGGCACCGCCACCAGCGCCACCACCGGUAUCGCGAGCAGCAACCACGGCGCGAGCAACAACAGUUGACGAGAAAACGGAAUGCGUGGAACGUUCGAACAACGUUAAAGGAACGUCCCUCGAAUGGUAACCGGGAGGGAUGGAUGCUCAGUUCGCGUCGAUGAGCUCGUUAUUCGUUUCCCUGCUCUCUUGUGUCCGGAUAAUAACCGAGAAUGAGAUCGCCCGAUCACAACACCUUCCUAUCCGCGCGAAGGUUCUCGAUCAACUCGGUCUCGACGUUGCGUACGCAUAAGAAGGAACGAUUGGAGGAUGGGGCAGCGCGGGGGGCGAAGUGAAGCGUGUACCUCGCGUCGACUCGAUACAGUCAAUUAACUUGCCUCUCGAUUCGCAAUUAAAUUUAAGGGGGAGGAGGAGUCAAACGCUUUCAAAUGCGCGCAAUGAGAUAGUCACCGUUCGGGGCGAGAGAUUAGCCCGAGCUCGAGGCCGGGUUUAAUAAUAAAGCCAUAAUUAAAAAGUGACGAAGAGAAAGAAGAAGAACAGUCGAGAAAGUGUUUCGGAUAGAGGCCGCCAGGAUGGUUGUUGGAGGGGAGACGUUCGUCCAACGGCGAUACUUGCCCGGCAUUUUGACGGCCGCUUACUUCUGCGCCUUCGUUUUCUGGAUCGAUGGGAUGAGGGAUUGUGCCGGUCAAAGGCCGAUAAAUCUGGGCGGAGCGAGGAAAAGGACGUAUACAUCGCUGGAUUUUUCCCUUCGGACCCCACGUGCCCGAGAGCCACAUCGGCCGCGGCGUAAUGCCCUCGGUCAAGCUCGCCGUCGAUCAUAUCAACGAGGAUCGGAUCGUCCUCAGGAACUAUCGGCUGCACAUGUGGUGGAACGACACGGAGUGCAACGCCGCUGUUGGCGUGAAGGCAUUCUUCGAUAUGAUGCACAGUGGGCCGCACAAAGUGAUGCUAUUCGGCGCAGCUUGCACGCACGUCACUGAUCCCAUCGCCAAAGCAUCGAAGCAUUGGCGUCUCACACAGCUUAGCUACGCGGACACACACCCGAUGUUUACAAGCGAUAGCUUCCCAAAUUUCUUUAGGGUGGUGCCUUCUGAGAACGCGUUCAACGCUCCCCGUGUGGCGCUUUUAUUGCACUUCAAUUGGACUCGCGUCGGAACCAUUUAUCAAAACGAGCCGCGAUACGCUCUGGCACACAAUCGAUUGGUCGCCGAUCUCGACAGCAAUAGCAUGGAAGUGGUGGAGACGCAAAGCUUCGCCACCGAGGUGACCACAGCGCUGGAAAAAUUGAAGGAGAAGGACGUUAGAAUAAUUUUGGGCAACUUCAACGAAACAUGGGCCAGGCGAAUAUUCUGCGAGGCGCACAAAUUCGAUAUGUUCGGGAGAAAAUAUCAAUGGGUGAUCAUGGGUACUUACACGGAGGAAUGGUGGCUCCAUCCUGACGAGGAAUGCAAUUCCUCCGAUUUGGUGGAGGCAUUGCACGGCGCUAUAUUGACAGACUUGUUGCCAAUCACAACGGAGAAGAGGAAGACUAUAGCUGGAAUAACAACCGAACAAUACCGGGUCGAGUAUGACUCGAGACGAGGCAAAGAGUAUUCGAGAUUUCACGGAUAUUCGUACGACGGUAUAUGGGCAGUAGCUUUAGCUAUACAACGGGUCGCAAGCAGGAUAACACACUACCGUCGCAAUCAGACCAUGUCAGAUUUCAGAUACAGGGACGAGCUUUGGGAGAAGCUUUUUCUGGAAGCUCUGAGAAACACCAGCUUCGAGGGCGUCACGGGGCCGGUGCGUUUCUACGAUAACGAAAGGAAAGCGUAUAUUCUUUUGAAACAGUUUCAAGGCGACAGAGAGGUAAAAGUUGGCGAGUACGACGGCGUGACAGAUAUUUUAGAUUUGAACAAGGGCGAGCCUUUGAUCUGGAAGGGGAAAUCACCGCCCAAAGAUCGAACUCUUCACAUCAUCGAGCAUUCGACCGUAAAUAUUACGAUCUACGCUGUGCUCACUUCCGCGGCGAGCGUGGGCAUCACCAUGGCGGCUAUUUUUCUCGUCAUCAAUAUCAAAUACCGAAAUCAAAGAUACAUAAAAAUGUCAUCGCCGCAUUUAAACAACCUCAUUAUCGUCGGAUGCAUGCUGACCUACAGCAGUGUAAUUUUCCUUGGGUUAGAUUCGCAGCUGUCCAGUGAAACGGCAUUUCCCUACAUUUGCACCGCCAGAGCAUGGCUAUUGAUGGCUGGUUUCUCCUUGGCGUUUGGUUCCAUGUUCUCGAAAACAUGGCGAGUACACUCGAUAUUUACCGACGUUAAAUUGAACAAGAAGGUGAUAAAAGAUUACCAAUUGUUCAUGGUGGUCGGUGUAUUAUUGUUUAUUGAUCUGGGUAUUAUGACGACCUGGCAGGUUGCGGAUCCAUUUUACCGAGAAACGAAACAAAUGGAACCUUAUCCUCAUCCUUCCAGCGAAGAUAUUAUCAUAAUACCGGAAAACGAGUACUGUCAAAGUAAUCGAAUGACCAUUUAUUUAGGAUGUAUAUACGCUUAUAAAGGUCUUUUAAUGAUAUUCGGCGCCUUUUUGGCAUGGGAAACAAGGCAUGUUAGUAUUCCGGCGUUAAACGAUAGCAAAUACGUCGGAAUGAGCGUAUACAACGUUGUGAUCAUGUGUGUCACUGGAGCGGCUAUAAGCUUCGUGUUGGCUGACAAACAAGAUGCCAUGUUUAUUAUGUUGGCGAUAUUUAUUAUAUUCUGCAGCACCGCCACCUUGUGCUUGGUUUUUGUACCAAAGCUAAUAGAAUUGCGAAGAAAUCCCCAAGGUACGAUAGACAAACGAAUUAGAGCAACGCUUAGGCCAGUGUCGAAAACGCGAAGGGACUCGAGCGUUAGCGAAUUGGAGGAACGUCUGAAGGAAGCGACGUUAGCGAAUCAAAAAUUUCGUAAACAAUUGUUGGAAAAAGAUUCAGAACUUCAGAUGUUUCUACGGAGGCUUGAUGAUCAAACCACAUCGAAUACACAGGAAGCAAUGGAUAGGUUAACAGUUCCGAGGCAGGAAGCAACAAUGGUGAAAAAAGAAGGUUUGUCCCUUGCGACAGAGACAACGGACAUUUCUAUAUCAAUGUGCAGUCUGAAUUCAACCACCAUCUCUCAACCAGAAGGCGUCGAUUAUGCGAGCACAAUCGCGACCGAACAACCGAUCAGCAAGAAAAAGACAUCGUUCUCGAAGUUACCGGCGAUCGCAAUCGACAGCGAACGAACACCUCUGGUCCCACAAUCCCAAGAAACCACGAAAGGAACCGCGGAUUUUUCGUCCUCCCCUCUACCUUCGGUUUUGAAGCAUACAACAGACGAUUCCGGCCAUAGAAGAAGUCGUGCCUCCAUACUUGGAAAAGAGAGUGAACCUCUUCUUGCGGAGAGAAGUCCGGACUCGCGAUCGGAUACCGGUAAAACGAACGUCGAAUUCGUACCGGAGAUCGUCGAGGAGGGUGACGCCAUUAUCCUCGAAGAGACCGAAAUUCCCAGGCAUGGAAAGUUGAUCAGAAGCAAAGAGGAUCGUAGAUCCAGGCUGCCGACACCUCCGCCGACAAAGAACGUCUCGUUCGGUGAACUUCACGAGCAGAACUACCUCGAGCAAGCGAUUCUACCACCUCCCUCGCAAUUCGUGCCCAAGCAUCGACAUUCCGUUUCGGCGACAAAUGCAUCCGCUCAUCAAUCAUUAAAGAGAAGAUCGUCGGUGAAGAGCAACGGAAUGGCUCAUUCCCAUCACGAGUUGUUUCAAACUCGGAGAACCAGCGUACCAGUCAAUUGCAUCAGUUAUAUUUCGACUGAGAACGUCUCCAAGUCAGAGGCCGCCGAGUUCUCGCUCAACUCCGGUUUUGAUAAGUCUUAUAUAAUUGGUGAAUGCGGUCAUCGACGAGCAUUAUUCUCAGGUACUGGAUAUCGUUGCGAGAAACACGGAGGACGAGGACAUCGCGCUAUAUUGAAUGGUUCGGCGGAAACGCCGCCUCCUCCACGGAGACAUAAAAAACACUACGAUUCUCAAAAUGCAAGUUCUCCGAGUGUGCCUGCGAUGGUUAAUGCAAGUUACUCUGAUACCGAGAAAUACGAGGAAUCCAUGUCGACGAUUAUUCAACGAUCAGUGUCCGAAAGAUCGCGAGAAAAGUGUCCUCGGCUUCGAAGUGAGGGACACGCGAUGAUCGAAUGCCCUCAUCGUGCCACACGUCGGAUACGAGAGUGUAGACAUACCGAGUCUAAACUCCGACAACAGGCUCGUUUGGAAUACGUGCAAAGCACACCGAAUGUUGCCACAAUACACAAUAAUAAAUUCGCAAGCGCGAAUCCACGUGGAGGUGGUAGCACUGGGCCAGGUGGCGGUAGUGUGGCAGGAAGUGCGAAUGGCCCGGGAACAGCCAGCUCAGUGACCGCCAGUAGUUCAGACGUUGUUGGUGGUUCCGCGGCAAAUGUUUCUAAAAUGUAUAGCGCCGUAUCAGACGGCGAAUUACUCGAUCUAGCGAUAUUGCCGAUCUUUCAAAAGCUGCUCACCGAGAGGCACAAAAGUUCCUCGAGGGCCGGCUACGGCGCCAGCGUAGCCAGCUGUCCGAAUAUAUCUAUCAAAUGUGACAUCGUUGAAUACCUUUAACGAUCUUCCAUCUAUUAACUUCAAUUUUCAUUCCGGCGAUCUCGUUCUGUUUUCUCUCUUCUUUGAACACUCCUCUCCCUUAUUUUUCCCCUUACAUUUCUCAUCUCCUCUCUUUCUCUCUCUUUCUCUCUCUUUCUCCCUCCUGACGGCCUUCAGACGCGACAUCUAUCGUAAAACGUGUUCGCCAAUGUAUCGGCCGAGACAAUGAUAUUUUAUGAGAGCAAUCACCGUUCCUUUCUCGAGCCUGCCUAUCUUUGCGAUACUCUCGCGAAAAAACAUUGGAAGAAGCAGCAACGCUGCUCUUUCGAUAUGUGUAAAUAUUAGCAAGUGUCCGCUGGACUUAUGGACGAGAAGGAGACGUUAUCAACAAGAUUAAACGAAAGAAUACCGGCCUUUGUUCGACGCUCGAGAAUCUUUUAUCUCCUCGGUUAAUUAAUUUGACAAAAAUAGCCGCUCGCGGCAUAUUGUGAAAACGUUCUUCAGCAGAAUUCUACAGCGUCUGCACUUCAACACACAUUUCUCUUUCCAUCUUUGUGAUUUUUCGUUCCCCCAUCUCGAUUCUCGUCUCGAUGAUGAAAGGCCAUAUAAACAUUAACAAACAUACGACGCUUUCGCGUCCAUGAGAAAAUGAUUGACAAAGUCACGGUGACUCAUCAUUCUGAAACGCGGAAUCUCGGUUUUUAUAAUAAAUUAAUCGAAAAACAAGUUUGUUAUACAUGUUUGUCAUAACAAAAAAAAAAAAAAA